rnacentral:rRNA from 1 species
CUUGAACGCUGGCGGUAUGCCUUACACAUGCAAGUCGAACGGUAGAGGGGCAACCCUUGAGAGUGGCGAACGGGUGAGUAAUACAUCGGAACGUGCCAAGUCGUGGGGGAUAACGUAGCGAAAGCUACGCAAAUACCGCAUAAGACCAGAGGGUGAAAGCGGGGGAUCGCAAGACCUCGCGCGAUUGGAGCGGCAGAUGGCAGAUUAGGUCGGUGGUGGGGUAAAGGCCAACCAAGCCUGCGAUCAGUGGCUGGUCUGAGAUGACGCCCAGCCACACUGGGACUGAGACACGGCCCAGACUCCUACGGGAGGCAGCAGUGGGGAAUUUUGGACAAUGGGCGAAAUCCUGAUCCAGCCAUACCGCGUGCGGGAAGAAGGCCUUCGGGUUGUAAACCGCUUUUGUCAGGGAAGAAAUCUUCUGGGUUAAUACCUCGGGUGGAUGACGGUACCUGAGAAUAAGCCCCGGCAAACUUCGUGCCAGCCGCCGCAGUAACAC